CUCCAGUCCGUCUGAACUUGUAUCCUUUAUUUUCUAAUUACUUCAUUGAAGGUGAGUGAUAUUUCAAAUACUCUGCCUACACUAGUGGCUGAUUUGUCUAGUAAAUUAGUAUUUUCGUUAACGACAACAUUUGACGCGGUAUACUUGAGUAUGUCGUGGUGUGUUCGGAAUGUGGUGGAUCUUACAAAAUUGAAUUGUGUGUACCUUCUUUGUGUAAACC
rnacentral:lncRNA from 1 species